ACUCAAAUGAAUUGACGGGGACCCACACAAGCGGUGGAGCAUGGGGUUUAAUUCGAUAGUAAGCGAAGCACCUCACCCAGGCUUGACAUCUUACGAACCCUCCAGAAACGGAGGGGUGCCGCAAGGAGCGUAAAGACAGGCGCUGCACGGUUGUCGUCAGCUCGUGCCUUGAGGUGUACUGUUAAGUCAGCGAACGAGCGCAACCCUCAUCCUAUGUUGAUUUUUCAUGGGAGACUGCCGCCUCCAAGGCGGAGGAAGGUGGGGAUGACGUCAAAUCAGCGUGGCCCUUAUGCCUGGGGCAACACCCGUGCUACAAUGGCCGGUACAGUGAGCCGCGAACCCGCGAGGGCAAGCCAAUCUCUUAAAGCCGGUCUCAGUUCGGAUUGCAGUCUGCAACUCGACUGCAUGAAGUUGGAAUCGCUAGUAACCGUGAAUCAGCUACGUCACGGUGAAUAUGUUCCUGGGUCUUGUACACACCGCCCGU
rnacentral:rRNA from 1 species